AGCGAACGCUGGCGGCAGGCCUAACACAUGCAAGUCGAACGAGGUCUUCGGACCUAGUGGCGGACGGGUGAGUAACACGUGGGAACGUGCCCUUUGGUACGGAAUAACUCAGGGAAACUUGAGCUAAUACCGUAUGUGCCCUUCGGGGGAAAGAUUUAUCGCCAUUGGAGCGGCCCGCGUCUGAUUAGCUAGUUGGUGAGGUAAUGGCUCACCAAGGCUACGAUCAGUAGCUGGUCUGAGAGGAUGACCAGCCACAUUGGGACUGAGACACGGCCCAAACUCCUACGGGAGGCAGCAGUGGGGAAUCUUGCGCAAUGGGCGAAAGCCUGACGCAGCCAUGCCGCGUGUAUGAUGAAGGUCUUAGGAUUGUAAAAAUACUUUCACCGGUGAAGAUAAUGAC
rnacentral:rRNA from 1 species